rnacentral:lncRNA from 1 species
UUAUAUCUCUUCCAGGUUGACCAAUUUGAUCAAACCAAAGCCUAUAUGAGUCGGUGUCCCAAAUAUCAUGUUUGGCGACAAUAUGGGAUUCGAUAUUCGAAUCGUAGUGACAUACAGUUCACUAGAUUGACUCAUGAAUUUCUCCAAGAUGCGCUUCAGUUCGCAUUCAUGAGGAGGUAUACACAAAAGAAUUCUUAAUCAUUCUCACAAUGUGUUUUCAAAUGAAAACCAUUAGCAUGAAUGUCUUUAAAGCUCAACAUGGUUCCUUAGAAUGUUGUGGAUAGUUCCACUAUCUGCGAAGCACUCAAUGUCUCUAUGAGACAUAACUACAAGGAGUAGAUAGACGAGUAAAUAGUUCUACUUGAACCAUUUAGAAGGAUUGAAAUAAGCUAUGAAAAGCUGCAAUCCCGAGAGUGCAUAAAAAUUUCCGCGCAGAAUGACCUUUGCGCACUAAAACAGCCAUAACUUCUUCGUUAAAAUAGAUAUGGACGAACCGUGAAAAGUUCUGAAAACUAGACUCAUAGAGCUUUCCAAUGAUAUAAAGCGCACUGUCUAGUUUGUCCGGAGCUGUUCACAAAGCUCAAACGAAGUUGACUGUCCAGAAGGGACAGAUUGCUGUUUUUCGCAGAUUUGGCAUGUGCGAAGCUAUGAAGCUUGCAGGUGGCGUGUAGGCUUUUGCCUUAGCCAAAAGUGACGUGUGUAUGAUCAAAACCAAGUCCUUUCGAUCGUUCUAAGGUCGUAAACUCCAUGACUAGUUAGCAAAAGCUCCCUGACAUGAACAUAAACUAACUCAGAGGACCUAGAGGAUCCGAUCAUGAUGAUAAUUUUCCAGCUUUGAUAAGUCUUCAACGUCUUUUGCAAGACGGCAAUUGGUUUAAUAGCUUAGGGGGAUCCAAGAUCAAAAAGCUUUCGGUAACUCCAAGUCAGUAUGACCAGGCAUGUCCGUGGAGGGUCGGUAGUGCGAGGCACACUUAAAAACCACUAUCUCCUUAAUUUCGGACAAUUCUAAAGCAUCACACUGAGCUUGGAUGAGCCUAGUUGAACAAUUGAUG